UACAGAGGUGGCAAGCGUUGUUCGGAAUUACUGGGCGUAAAGGGCGCGUAGGCGGUCUUUUAAGUCUUGUGUGAAAUCCCUCGGCUCAACUGAGGAACUGCACGGGAUACUGGAAGACUUGAGUUCGGGAGAGGGAAGCGGAAUUCCGGGUGUAGCGGUGAAAUGCGUAGAUAUCCGGAGGAACACCGGUGGCGAAGGCGGCUUCCUGGACCGAUUACUGACGCUGAGGCGCGAAAGCUAGGGGAGCGAACCGG
rnacentral:rRNA from 1 species